UGUAAGCGUAUACCAAAGUUGUUGCAGUUAAAACGCUCGUAGUCGGAAUUUGGCAGUUCCGGAUGUGUGCACGUCGUGUGCGCACUUCGCGGGGAUUGCUUUUGCGGUCUUGCGUAGGAUGAGGCACUUUUAUUAGUGAACGUCCUCACGCAACCACUUUUUACUGUGAGAAAAUCAGAGUGCUCAAAGCAGGCAUUUGCCGUGAAUGUAUUAGCAUGGAAUAAUAGAAUAGGACUUGGUUCUAUUUUGUUGGUUUGUUGGGACUGAGUAAUGAUUAAGAGGGACAGUUGGGGGCAUUUGUAUUUCGGUGCUAGAGGUGAAAUUCUUAGAUUACCGAAAGACAAACUGCUGCGAAAGCGUCUGCCAAGGAUGUUUUCAUUGA
rnacentral:rRNA from 1 species